rnacentral:rRNA from 1 species
GCGAGUCAUUGUAGUGAUACAAGGCAGACGGCUCAGUAACGCGUCCUUACCUAACCUAUGGACGGGAAUAACCUCGGGAAACUGACUAUAAUGCCCGAUAGAACAUUAUACCUGGAAUGGUUUAUGUUCCAAAUGAUUUAUCGCCGUAGGAUGGGACUGCGGCCUAUCAGUUUGUUGGUGAGGUAAUGGCCCACCAAGACUAUUACAGGUACGGGCUCUGAGAGGAGUAGCCCGGAGAUGGGUACUGAGACACGGACCCAGGCCCUAUGGGGCGCAGCAGGCGGGAAAACUUUGCAAUGUGCGAAAGCACGACAAGGUAAAUCCGAGUGGUUUCU